CCUACGGGGGGCAGCAGUGAGGAAUAUUGGUCAAUGGCCGGAAGGCUGAACCAGCCAAGCCGCGUGAAGGACGAAGGUGCCAAGCAUUGUAAACUUCUUUUGUCAAGGGACAAAAUCAGGCUCGAGAGCCUGACCGAGGGUACUUUAAGAAAAAGCAUCGGCUAACUCCGUGCCAGCAGCCGCGGUAAUCCGGAGGAUCCGAGCGUUAUCCGGAUUUAUUGGGUUUAAGGGGUGCGUAGGCGGGCUGUUAAGUCAGCGGGAAAAGCCCGGGGCUCAACCCCGGAGAGCAGUUGAAACUGGCUGUCUUGAGAAGUCGAGAGGUAGGCGGAAUUCGCAGUGUAGCGGUGAAAUGCUUAGAUAUUGCGAAGAACUCCGAUUGCGAAGGCAGCAUACCGGCGGCGAUCUGACGCUGAGGCACGAAAGCGUGGGUAUCGAACAGGAUUAGAUACCCGUGUAGUC
rnacentral:rRNA from 1 species